ACUACACUAGGAUCUAGAAAUUUUGGUAUAGACUCAAAAACAAGGUAAAGGUCUUGUCACAUGCCCUGGUCAUAUGGCAGAGAAAUCACUCUGGAACUGAGCUGGAAGCUUCCUCUGGCUUGGCUAACCCUCAGAUUGCUGCGAAGUGUGAUGCAGAUGCAGGGAGAUGGCAGCAGUAACUUCAGAGACCCACAGCUGUUCCUGUGUUGAGAAUAAGUGACUGCUGACUGCUUACCAGUCAUCAUUCAUAAGACGUGAAAUGUCCUGUGUAGAUGGAACAGGCCAGAAGACUGAAUACUUAAGCUGCGUGUGGAGCAGCCAUGGCAACAACACAGAAUGGAAGGGCAGAGACUCUAGAACCCACUGACAUUGCUUUAGAAUAAAACAGUUCUGUGGCUCACCUUUCUGAAGAGCUGUAGGGUCUAUGGCUAUGGAAUGUGUAUCUGAUUUCAUUAUGUUCAAGGAGUCAAGUGAUAAAUUAAAAGCUAAAAAUGCGGUUAAGAGAAGGAGA